GAUGAACGCUAGCGGCAGGCCUAACACAUGCAAGUCGAACGGUAACAGGUGUAGCAAUACAUGCUGACGAGUGGCGCACGGGUGCGUAACACGUAUGCAACUUACCUCUAACUGGGGAAUAGCUUCGAGAAAUCGAAAUUAAUGUCCCAUAAUAAUUUGAUCAGGCAUCUGGUUAAAUUUAAAACUCCGGUGGUUAGAGAUAGGCAUGCGUCCUAUUAGCGUGUUGGUGAGGUAACGGCUCACCAAGGCUACGAUAGGUAGGGGGCCUGAGAGGGUUAUCCCCCACACUGGAACUGAGACACGGUCCAGACUCCUACGGGAGGCAGCAGUGGGGAAUUUUGGACAAUGGGCGCAAGCCUGAUCCAGCCAUGCCGCGUGCAGGAUGAAGGCCUUCGGGUUGUAAACUGCUUUUGUACGGAACGAAAAGGUUUGGCCUAAUACGCUGAACUCAUGACGGUACCGUAAGAAUAAGCACCGGCUAACUACGUGCCAGCCGCCGCCGUAACAC
rnacentral:rRNA from 1 species